AGACAGAUCAGAGGAGGGAGAGAGGAGGUAGAGGGAUAGACAGAUCAGGGAAGAGGUAGAGGGAUAGACAGAUCAGAGAAGAGGUAGAGGGAUAGACAGAUCAGAGAAGAGGUAGAGGGAUAGACAGAUCAGAGGAGGGAGAGAGGAGGUAGAGGGAUAGACAGAUCAGGGAAGAGGUAGAGGGAUAGACAGAUCAGAGAAGAGGUAGAGGGAUAGACAGAUCAGAGAAGAGGUAGAGGGAUAGACAGAUCAGGGAAGAGGUAGAGGGAUAGACAGAUCAGAGGAGGGAGAGAGGAGGUAGAGGGAUAGACAGAUCAGGGAAGAGGUAGAGGGAUAGACAGAUCAGAGGAGGGAGAGAGGAGGUAGAGGGAUAGACAGAUCAGGGAAGAGGUAGAGGGAUAGACAGAUCAGAGGAGGGAGAGAGGAGGUAGAGGGAUAGACAGAUCAGGGAAGAGGUAGAGGGAUAGACAGAUCAGAGGAGGGAGAGAGGAGGUAGAGGGAUAGACAGAUCAGGGAAGAGGUAGAGGGAUAGACAGAUCAGAGGAGGGAGAGAGGAGGUAGAGGGAUAGACAGAUCAGAGAAGAGGUAGAGGGAUAGACAGAUCAGAGGAGGGAGAGAGGAGGUAGAGGGAUAGACAGAUCAGAGAAGAGGUAGAGGGAUAGACAGAUCAGAGGAGAGAGAGAGGAGGUAGAGGGAUAGACAGAUCAGAGAAGAGGUAGAGGGAUAGACAGAUCAGAGGAGGGAGAGAGGAGGUAGAGGAAUAGACAGAUCAGAUGGAGAGAGGAGAGGUGGGAGGGAGGAGGUAGAGAGGAGGCAGAGAGGAAUAGACAGAUCAGAUGGAGAGAGGCUUGAUGACAGGAGGUAGAACUAAAUAAGGUCCUCUCAUUCUUCUGCUCCUACUGGCCUCUAAUGUCUGUCUGGU